rnacentral:piRNA from 1 species
UCACCUGGAAUUUUGUAGUUGCCAACGUG